UAACUGAAGAGUUUGAUCAUGGCUCAGAUUGAACGCUGGCGGCAGGCUUAACACAUGCAAGUCGAGCGGGGGAGAUUGCUUCGGUAAUUGACCUAGCGGCGGACGGGUGAGUAAUACUUAGGAAUCUGCCUAUUAAUGGGGGACAACAUCUCGAAAGGGAUGCUAAUACCGCAUACGCCCUACGGGGGAAAGCAGGGGAUCACUUGUGACCUUGCGU
rnacentral:rRNA from 1 species